CACGUAGGGCGCGAGCGUUGUCCGGAAUUAUUGGGCGUAAAGAGCGUGUAGGUGGCUCGGUAAGUCCGCUGUGAAAGUCCAGGGCUCAACCCUGGAAUGCCAGUGGAAACUGUCGAGCUAGAGUCCGGAAGAGGCGAGUGGAAUUCCUGGUGUAGCGGUGAAAUGCGCAGAUAUCAGGAGGAACACCAAUGGCGAAGGCAGCUCGCUGGGACGGUACUGACGCUGAGACGCGAAAGCGUGGGGAGCAAACAGG
rnacentral:rRNA from 1 species